rnacentral:rRNA from 1 species
UGAACGCUGGCGGUCUGCUUAACACAUGCAAGUCGAACGCAACCUUCGGGUUGAGUGGCGGACGGGUGAGUAACGCGUGAGAAUCUGCCUUGGGGUCGGGNCAACCACUGGAAACGGUGGCUAAUACCGGAUAAGCCUUUGGGUAAAAGAUUUAUUGCCCCAAGAGGAGCUCGCGUCUGAUUAGCUAGUUGGUGAGGUAAGAGCUCACCAAGGCAGCGAUCAGUAGCUGGUCUGAGAGGACGAUCAGCCACACUGGGACUGAGACACGGCCCAGACUCCUACGGGAGGCAGCAGUGGGGAAUUUUCCGCAAUGGGCGAAAGCCUGACGGAGCAAGACCGCGUGAGGGAGGAAGGCUCUUGGGUUGUAAACCUCUUUUCUCAGGGAAGAAGCUCUGACGGUACCGGAGGAAUCAGCCUCGGCUAACUCCGUGCCAGCAGCCGCGGUAAUACGGAGGAGGCAAGCGUUAUCCGGAAUUAUUGGGCGUAAAGCGUCCGCAGGUGGCGAUUCAAGUCUGCUGUCAAAGCACGGGGCUUAACUCCGUUAAGGCAGUGGAAACUGAAUAGCUAGAGUGCCGUAGGGGUAGAGGGAAUUCCCGGUGUAGCGGUGAAAUGCGUAGAGAUCGGGAAGAACAUCGGUGGCGAAAGCGCUCUACUGGACGGCAACUGACACUCAGGGACGAAAGCUAGGGGAGCGAAUGGGAUUAGAUACCCCAGUAGUCCUAGCUGUAAACGAUGGAUACUAGGUGUAGCUUGUAUCGACCCGAGCUGUGCCGAAGCUAACGCGUUAUGUAUCCCGGCUGGGGAGUACGCAAGCAAGUGUGAAACUCAAAGGAAUUGACGGGGGCCACGCACAAGCGGUGGAGUAUGUGGUUUAAUCUCGAUGCAACGCGAAGAACCUUACCAGGGCAAGACACGUCCGGAAUCCCAGGAGAAAGCAGGGAGUGCCUUCGGGAGCCGGAACACAGGUGGUGCAUGGCAGUCGUCAGCUCGUGUCGUGAGAUGUUGGGUUAAGUCCCGCAACGAGCGCUACCCUCGCCUUUACUUGCCAGCAUUAAGUUGCGCACUCUAGAGAGACUGCCGGUGACAAACCGGAGGAAGGUGGGGAUGACGUCAAGUCAGCAUGCCCCUUACGCUCUGGGCGACACACGUACUACAAUGGUCGGGACA